rnacentral:rRNA from 1 species
UAGGGAAUCAUCGGCAAUGGGGGAAACCCUGACCGUGCAAUGCCGCGUGAGUGAUGAAGGCCUUAGGGUUGUAAAGCUCUGUUGUGAAGGAAGAAUAGCCUAGAUAGAAUCUAGGUCUGACGGUACUUCACCAGAAAGCCAUGGCUAACUACGUGCCAGCAGCCGCGGUAAUACGUAGAUGGCAAGCGUUAUCCGGAUUUAUUGGGCGUAAAGGGUGCUCAGCUGGUUUAUUAAGUUUGUAGUUAAAAUUCGAAGCUCAACUUCGAAGUGCUGCGAAAACUGGUAGACUUGAGUACAGGAGAGGGUAGUGGAAUUCCAUGUGAAGCGGUAAAAUGCGUAGAUAUAUGGAGGAACACCAGUGGCGAAGGCGGCUACCUGGCCUGUAACUGACAGUCAAGCACGAAAGCGUGGGGAGCAAAUA